UGACUAUUCAUGAUCAGAGAUGGCACUGGGAGAGAAGUAACUGAGGAAGAAAGAAAAUGCCAACUCACCUGUUCUCAGAUGGUGGUCAGCCUUCCUAAAUGUGGCCCCUGCUGACAGAGGGGAAGAAAUGCAGCUGAAUUUGAGAAAAAGUGCCCAUUAUAUCAUUAAGGAGGGUUGAAUUGUACGGAGAUGGAUGAAACUCGUGGUUAUUUGCCUACAGAACACUGCAGGUGACAGUCCUCUCUAAGUGAUCUUGAUUAGAAAAAUGGCUGAGAUGAAGGAGUUAAAAUGCAACAGACACAUCUCUUUGAUUUCCUCAAGAAUCCAGUGAAAUAACUCUCUCACCACCACACAUGGAGAUGCCAUACCCUUUAAAGCAACAUUUCCCCAGUGGACAACCUAUAUUUUGAGAAAUAAGCAAAACAACAAAAACAAAAACAUUUCAAAAUCAGAAUUGUACUCUGCACAGUCUCCCUGAAGGAGUCACUUAAAUCCAAGUGGUCCAUUCCUUUAGUGCAAUGAAACCAUUAGUGUGCAAAUUGUUUUAUGGAGAAAGGAAGCUAAAAGAGUGUAAAUGUAUAACAAUUGCAUAUUAGUCUUUUUCCCUGAUCAUAUUUCCAGUAUAUAUGCCUCUGGCCAAAAAGCUAAGCACAGUAGCAUUUUCAGAAUACAGA